rnacentral:rRNA from 1 species
GAGGUCAUUGCUAUUGGAGUCCGAUUUAGCCAUGCUAGUUGCACGGGUUUAGACCCGUAGCAGAUAGCUCAGUAACACGUGGCCAAACUACCCUAUGGAUCCGGAUACCCUCGGGAAACUGAGACUAAUCCGGAAUAGCGUUCAUCGCCUGGAGUGGCACGAACGCGAAACGUUACGGCGCCAUAGGAUGUGGCUGCGGCCGAUUAGGUAGACGGUGGGGUAACGGCCCACCGUGCCCAUAAUCGGUACGGGUUGUGAGAGCAAGAGCCCGGAGACGGUAUCUGAGACAAGAUACCGGGCCCUACGGGGCGCAGCAGGCGCGAAACCUUUACACUGCACGCGAGUGCGAUAAGGGGACUCCGAGUGCGAGGGCAUAUAGUCCUCGCUUUUCACGACCGUAAGGAGGUCGUAGAAUAAGUGCUGGGCAAGACCGGUGCCAGCCGCCGCGGUAAUACCGGCAGCACGAGUGAUGACCGCUAUUAUUGGGCCUAAAGCGUCCGUAGCUGGCCACGCAAGUUCGUCGGGAAAUCUGCGCGCUUAACGCGCAGGCGUCCGGUGGAAACUGUGUGGCUUGGGACCGGAAGACCAGAGGGGUACGUCCGGGGUAGGAGUGAAAUCCCGUAAUCCUGGACGGACCACCGGUGGCGAAAGCGCCUCUGGAAGACGGAUCCGACGGUGAGGGACGAAAGCUCGGGUCACGAACCGGAUUAGAUACCCGGGUAGUCCGAGCUGUAAACGAUGUCUGCUAGGUGUGGCACAGGCUACGAGCCUGUGCUGUGCCGUAGGGAAGCCGUGAAGCAGACCGCCUGGGAAGUACGUCCGCAAGGAUGAAACUUAAAGGAAUUGGCGGGGGAGCACUACAACCGGAGGAGCCUGCGGUUUAAUUGGACUCA